GACGUAGGGCGCGAGCGUUGUCCGGAUUUAUUGGGCGUAAAGAGCUCGUAGGCGGCUUGUCGCGUCGUUCGUGAAAACCUGCAGCUCAACUGCAGGCUUGCGGUCGAUACGGGCAGGCUAGAGUUCGGUAGGGGAGACUGGAAUUCCUGGUGUAGCGGUGAAAUGCGCAGAUAUCAGGAGGAACACCGGUGGCGAAGGCGGGUCUCUGG
rnacentral:rRNA from 1 species